rnacentral:rRNA from 1 species
GAUGAACGCUAGCGACAGGCUUAACACAUGCAAGUCGAGGGGCAGCACAGGUAGCAAUACCGGGUGGCGACCGGCGCGCGGGUGAGUAACGCGUAUGCAACUUACCUAUCAGAGGGGGAUAACCCGGCGAAAGUCGGACUAAUACCGCAUGAAGCAGGGGUCCCGCAUGGGGAUAUUUGCUAAAGAUUCAUCGCUGAUAGAUAGGCAUGCGUUCCAUUAGGCAGUUGGCGGGGUAACGGCCCACCAAACCGACGAUGGAUAGGGGUUCUGAGAGGAAGGUCCCCCACAUUGGUACUGAGACACGGACCAAACUCCUACGGGAGGCAGCAGUGAGGAAUAUUGGUCAAUGGCCGAGAGGCUGAACCAGCCAAGUCGCGUGAGGGAUGAAGGUUCUAUGGAUCGUAAACCUCUUUUAUAAGGGAAUAAAGUGCGGGACGUGUCCCGUUUUGUAUGUACCUUAUGAAUAAGGAUCGGCUAACUCCGUG